GGGUAGUUUGACUGGGGCGGUCUCCUCCUAAAGAGUAACGGAGGAGCACGAAGGUUGGCUAAUCCUGGUCGGACAUCAGGAGGUUAGUGCAAUGGCAUAAGCCAGCUUGACUGCGAGCGUGACGGCGCGAGCAGGUGCGAAAGCAGGUCAUAGUGAUCCGGUGGUUCUGAAUGGAAGGGCCAUCGCUCAACGGAUAAAAGGUACUCCGGGGAUAACAGGCUGAUACCGCCCAAGAGUUCAUAUCGACGGCGGUGUUUGGCACCUCGAUGUCGGCUCAUCACAUCCUGGGGCUGAAGUAGGUCCCAAGGGUAUGGCUGUUCGCCAUUUAAAGUGGUACGCGAGCUGGGUUUAGAACGUCGUGAGACAGUUCGGUCCCUAUCUGCCGUGGGCGCUGGAGAACUGAGGGGGGCUGCUCCUAGUACGAGAGGACCGGAGUGGACGCAUCACUGGUGUUCGGGUUGUCAUGCCAAUGGCACUGCCCGGUAGCUAAAUGCGGAAGAGAUAAGUGCUGAAAGCAUCUAAGCACGAAACUUGCCCCGAGAUGAGUUCUCCCUGACUCCUUGAGAGUCCUGAAGGAACGUUGAAGACGACGACGUUGAUAGGCCGGGUGUGUAAGCGCAGCGAUGCGUUGAGCUAACCGGUACUAAUGAAC
rnacentral:rRNA from 1 species